rnacentral:rRNA from 1 species
GAUGAACGCUGGCGGCGUGCCUAAUACAUGCAAGUCGAGCGAACAGACGAGGAGCUUGCUCCUCUGACGUUAGCGGCGGACGGGUGAGUAACACGUGGAUAACCUACCUAUAAGACUGGGAUAACUUCGGGAAACCGGAGCUAAUACCGGAUAAUAUAUUGAACCGCAUGGUUCAAUAGUGAAAGACGGUUUUGCUGUCACUUAUAGAUGGAUCCGCGCCGCAUUAGCUAGUUGGUAAGGUAACGGCUUACCAAGGCAACGAUGCGUAGCCGACCUGAGAGGGUGAUCGGCCACACUGGAACUGAGACACGGUCCAGACUCCUAGGGGAGGCAGCAGUAGGGAAUCUUCCGCAAUGGGCGAAAGCCUGCCGGAGCAACGCCGCGUGAGUGAUGAAGGUCUUCGGAUCGUAAAACUCUGUUAUUAGGGAAGAACAAAUGUGUAAGUAACUAUGCACGUCUUGACGGUACCUAAUCAGAAAGCCACGGCUAACUACGUG